rnacentral:misc_RNA from 4 species
AACGCACCUUGCGCCCCCUGGUAUUCCGAGGGGCACACCCGUUUGAGUGUCGUGAAAACCUCAACCUCCUUGGUUUCUUCUGGAGACCAAAGCAGGCUUGGACUUUGGAGGCCUUUGCUGGCACCUCUCGCCAGCUCCUCUUAAAUGAAUUAGCAGGGUCCUCUUUGCUGAUCCUCGACGUGUGAUAAGAUGUUUCCAUGUCUUGGUUUCUGGCUCUGUCACCUUUGGGACCCGCUUCUAACCGUCUUCAACCUUGCGUUGAGACAACGUUCGAGCAUGUCUCCCUUCUCGGGAAGCUCCCUCGACCCCACGAACCCUUGACCUCAAAUCGGGUGAGACUACCCGCUGAACUUAA